AGAGCAUAGGGUGAAUGCCUAGGCACCAAAAGCCGAUGAAAGACGUGACAAGCUGCGAUAAGCCUUGGGGAGGAGCACAUAUCCUUUGAUCCAGGGAUUUCUGAAUGAGGAAACUCAGCUGGGAAAAAGAGCCCAGUUAUCCACACAUGAGUAAAGUAGUGUGUGAGAAGGGAACGUGGAGAACUGAAACAUCUUAGUACCCACAGGAAAAGAAAGAAAAAUCGAUAUCGAAAGUAGUGGCGAGCGAAAUCGAUAGAGCCCAAACCAGAAUCAGUAAUGAUACUGGGGUUCGGACAGCAUAAUUGAUUAAACGAGGAUAGCAAAACUGUUUUGGAAAAGCAGACUAUAAAGGGUGAAAGUCCCGUAUGCGAAAUUCAAGUUUACAUGGCUGUAUCCAGAGUAGUGCGAGACACGAGAAAUCUCGUAUGAAUGAGCGGGGACCAUCCCGUAAGGCUAAAUACUAAUUGGUGACCGAUAGCGAACUAGUACCGUGAGGGAAAGGUGAAAAGAACCCCGGGAGGGGAGUGAAAUAGAAUCUGAAACCCUAUGUUUACAAGCAGACAGAGCGAUUUAAGGCGCGAUGUCGUACUUUUUGUAGAACGGUCCAGCGAGUUAUAGUGUAUGGCAAGGUUAAGUUUUAAGUAAGGAACGGAGCCGAAGCGAAAGCGAGUCUGAAAAGGGCGAAUUAAGUCAUGCGUUAUAGACCCGAAACCGGGUGACCUAUCCAUGGUCAGGAUGAAGCAAGAGUAAAAUCUUGUGGAGGUCCGAACUGAUUGUCGUUAAAAAGGCACCGGAUGAACUGUGGAUAGCGGAGAAAUUCCAAUCGAACUCGGAGAUAGCUGGUUCUCCUCGAAAUAGCUUUAGGGCUAGCCUUGGAGGAAGACGAAUGGAGGUAGAGCACUGAAUGAGGUAGGGGCCUAACCAGGUUACCGAACUCUAUCAAACUCCGAAUGCCAUUCGUUAAUAUCCAGGAGUCAGACUACGGGAGCUAAGUUCCGUGGUCAAAAGGAAAAGAGUCCAGAUCGUCAAUUAAGGUCCCAAAUGGAUAGCUAAGUGGAAAACGAUGUGAUUUUGCGUAAACAACCAGGAUGUUGGCUCAGAAGCAGCCAUUCAUUAAAAGAGUGCGUAAUAGCUCACUGGUCGAGUGAAGUUGCGCGGAAAAUUACCGGGGCUAAGUUAUCAACCGAAAUUGCGGAUUUGUAAUUUAUUACAAGUGGUAGAGGAGCAUUCUAUUGUAGGAUGAAGUCAGAGCGUGAGCACUGGUGGACGAGAUAGAAGAGAGAAUGCUGGAAUAAGUAGCGAGAGCAGGGUGAGAAUCCCUGCCGUCGAAAGUCUAAGGUUUCCUGGGGAAGGUUCGUCCGCCCAGGGUUAGUCAGGACCUAAGGAGAGGCCGAAAGGCGUAUCUGAUGGAUAGCAGGUUGAUAUUCCUGCACUAUAUAAUACUUAAAAGAUGCAACUGACGCAGAAGUGGAAGGUGAGCAAGGAAAUGGAAAAACUUGUUCCGCAAGGGGGAGUGAAAAUAAAGUAACGAAGCACCAAGAAGCACGCUGACGAGAAAAGGUUGUAGAUCUUGUAUUAUAUACUUGUACCGCAAACCGACACAGGUAGAUGAGGAGAGGAUCCUAAGACGAUCGGGAGAAGCAUUGUUAAGGAACUCGGCAAAUUGACCCCGUAACUUUGGAAGAAGGGGUACUGGUGUAACAGCCAGUCGCAGUGAAUAGUCCCAAGCAACUGUUUAACAAAAACAUAGGUUUCUGCUAAAUCGAAAGAUGAAGUAUAGGAGCUGACGCCUGCCCAGUGCUGGAAGGUUAAGGGAACGUGUUAAUAGUAAUAUGAAGCACCGAACUGAAGCCCCAGUGAACGGCGGCCGUAACUAUAACGGUCCUAAGGUAGCGAAAUUCCUUGUCAGGUAAGUUCUGACCCGCACGAAAGGCGUAAUGAUUUGGGAGCUGUCUCGACAAUGUCCCCGGCGAAAUUGUAGUACUAGUGAAGAUGCUAGUUACCUGCGACAAGACAGAAAGACCCCAUGGAGCUUUACUGCAGUUUGAUACUGAGUCAGGCUAAUUUAUGUACAGGAUAGUUAGGAGGCUUUGAGGCUUAAGCGCCAGCUUAAGAAGAGCCAACGUUGGGAUACUAACCUUAAAUUAGUUUGAAUCUAACUCGUGAUCGUAAUCCGGUCAGAGGACAAUGUCAGACGGGCAGUUUGACUGGGGCGGUCGCCUCCUAAAGAGUAACGGAGGCGUUCAAAGGUUCCCUCA
rnacentral:rRNA from 1 species